GUUAUAACCGGCGAUGUCCGAAUGGGGAAACCCAGUGCAAUUCGUUGCACUAUCGUUAACUGAAUACAUAGGUUAACGAGGCGAACCGGGGGAACUGAAACAUCUAAGUACCCCGAGGAAAAGAAAUCAACCGAGAUUCCCCCAGUAGCGGCGAGCGAACGGGGAGCAGCCCAGAGUCUGAAUCAGCUUGUGUGUUAGUGGAACGGUCUGGAAAGUCCGACGGUACAGGGUGAUAGUCCCGUACACCAAAAUGCACAGGUUGUGAACUCGAAGAGUAGGGCGGGACACGUGGUAUCCUGUCUGAAUAUGGGGGGACCAUCCUCCAAGGCUAAAUACUCCUGACUGACCGAUAGUGAACCAGUACCGUGAGGGAAAGGCGAAAAGAACCCCGGCGAGGGGAGUGAAAAAGAACCUGAAACCGUGUACGUACAAGCAGUGGGAGCACCUUCGGGUGUGACUGCGUACCUUUUGUAUAAUGGGUCAGCGACUUAUAUUCUGUAGCAAGGUUAACCGUAUAGGGGAGCCGCAGGGAAACCGAGUCUUAACUGGGCGUUAAGUUGCAGGGUAUAGACCCGAAACCCGGUGAUCUAGCCAUGGGCAGGUUGAAGGUUGGGUAACACUAACUGGAGGACCGAACCGACUAAUGUUGAAAAAUUAGCGGAUGACUUGUGGCUGGGGGUGAAAGGCCAAUCAAACCGGGAGAUAGCUGGUUCUCCCCGAAAGCUAUUUAGGUAGCGCCUCGUGAACUCAUCUUCGGGGGUAGAGCACUGUUUCGGCUAGGGGGUCAUCCCGACUUACCAACCCGAUGCAAACUACGAAUACCGAAGAAUGUUAUCACGGGAGACACACGGCGGGUGCUAACGUCCGUCGUGAAGAGGGAAACAACCCAGACCGCCAGCUAAGGUCCCAAAGUCAUGGUUAAGUGGGAAACGAUGUGGGAAGGCACAGACAGCCAGGAUGUUGGCUUAGAAGCAGCCAUCAUUUAAAGAAAGCGUAAUAGCUCACUGGUCGAGUCGGCCUGCGCGGAAGAUGUAACGGGGCUAAACCAUGCACCGAAGCUGCGGCAGCGACACUAUGUGUUGUUGGGUAGGGGAGCGUUCUGUAAGCCUGCGAAGGUGUGCUGUGAGGCAUGCUGGAGGUAUCAGAAGUGCGAAUGCUGACAUAAGUAACGAUAAAGCGGGUGAAAAGCCCGCUCGCCGGAAGACCAAGGGUUCCUGUCCAACGUUAAUCGGGGCAGGGUGAGUCGACCCCUAAGGCGAGGCCGAAAGGCGUAGUCGAUGGGAAACAGGUUAAUAUUCCUGUACUUGGUGUUACUGCGAAGGGGGGACGGAGAAGGCUAUGUUAGCCGGGCGACGGUUGUCCCGGUUUAAGCAUGUAGGCUGGUUAUCCAGGCAAAUCCGGAUAAUCAAGGCUGAGGUGUGAUGACGAGGCACUACGGUGCUGAAGUAACAAAUGCCCUGCUUCCAGGAAAAGCCUCUAAGCAUCAGGUAACAUCAAAUCGUACCCCAAACCGACACAGGUGGUCAGGUAGAGAAUACCAAGGCGCUUGAGAGAACUCGGGUGAAGGAACUAGGCAAAAUGGUGCCGUAACUUCGGGAGAAGGCACGCUGGUGUGUAGGUGAAGUCCCUGCGGAUGGAGCUGAGACCAGUCGAAGAUACCAGCUGGCUGCAACUGUUUAUUAAAAACACAGCACUGUGCAAACACGAAAGUGGACGUAUACGGUGUGACGCCUGCCCGGUGCCGGAAGGUUAAUUGAUGGGGUUAUCCGUAAGGAGAAGCUCUUGAUCGAAGCCCCGGUAAACGGCGGCCGUAACUAUAACGGUCCUAAGGUAGCGAAAUUCCUUGUCGGGUAAGUUCCGACCUGCACGAAUGGCGUAAUGAUGGCCAGGCUGUCUCCACCCGAGACUCAGUGAAAUUGAACUCGCUGUGAAGAUGCAGUGUACCCGCGGCAAGACGGAAAGACCCCGUGAACCUUUACUAUAGCUUGACACUGAACAUUGAGCCUUGAUGUGUAGGAUAGGUGGGAGGCUUUGAAGCGUGGACGCCAGUCUGCGUGGAGCCAACCUUGAAAUACCACCCUUUAAUGUUUGAUGUUCUAACGUUGGCCCCUGACCGGGGUUGCGGACAGUGUCUGGUGGGUAGUUUGACUGGGGCGGUCUCCUCCCAAAGCGUAACGGAGGAGCACGAAGGUUAGCUAAUCCUGGUCGGACAUCAGGAGGUUAGUGCAAUGGCAUAAGCUAGCUUGACUGCGAGCGUGACGGCGCGAGCAGGUGCGAAAGCAGGUCAUAGUGAUCCGGUGGUUCUGAAUGGAAGGGCCAUCGCUCAACGGAUAAAAGGUACUCCGGGGAUAACAGGCUGAUACCGCCCAAGAGUUCAUAUCGACGGCGGUGUUUGGCACCUCGAUGUCGGCUCAUCACAUCCUGGGGCUGAAGUAGGUCCCAAGGGUAUGGCUGUUCGCCAUUUAAAGUGGUACGCGAGCUGGGUUUAGAACGUCGUGAGACAGUUCGGUCCCUAUCUGCCGUGGGCGCUGGAGAAUUGAGGGGGGCUGCUCCUAGUACGAGAGGACCGGAGUGGACGCAUCACUGGUGUUCGGGUUGUCAUGCCAAUGGCACUGCCCGGUAGCUAAAUGCGGAAGAGAUAAGUGCUGAAAGCAUCUAAGCACGAAACUUGCCCCGAGAUGAGUUCUCCCUGAGACU
rnacentral:rRNA from 1 species